UACGAAGGGUGCUAGCGUUGUUCGGAAUUAUUGGGCGUAAAGCGUGCGUAGGCGGCAUAGUAAGUCAGCUGUGAAAGCCCAGGGCUCAACCUUGGAAUUGCGGUUGAAACUAUUAAGCUAGAGUAUGGCGGGGGAUAGUGGAAUUCUUAGUGUAGGGGUGAAAUCCGUAGAUAUUAAGAGGAACACCAGUGGCGAAAGCGACUAUCUACACCAUUACUGACGCUGAGGUACGAAAGCGUGGGGAGCAAACAGG
rnacentral:rRNA from 1 species